UACGGAGGGGCUAGCGUUGUUCGGAAUUACUGGGCGUAAAGCGCACGUAGGCGGUGAUCCAUGUCAGAGGUGAAAGCCCGGGGCUCAACUCCGGAAUUGCCUUUGAAACGGGAUCGCUAGAGUCCGAGAGAGGAUGGCGGAAUUCCUAGUGUAGAGGUGAAAUUCGUAGAUAUUAGGAAGAACACCGGUGGCGAAGGCGGCCAUCUGGCUCGGUACUGACGCUCAGGCGCGAAAGCGUGGGGAGCAAACAGG
rnacentral:rRNA from 1 species